AUUGAACGCUGGCGGCAUGCCUUACACAUGCAAGUCGAACGGUAACGCGGGGCAACCUGGCGACGAGUGGCGAACGGGUGAGUAAUACAUCGGAACGUGCCCAGUAGUGGGGGAUAGCCCGGCGAAAGCCGGAUUAAUACCGCAUACGACCUACGGGUGAAAGCAGGGGAUCGCAAGACCUUGCGCCAUUGGAGCGGCCGAUGUCAGAUUAGGUUGUUGGUGGGGUAAAGGCCUACCAAGCCGACGAUCUGUAGCUGGUCUGAGAGGACGACCAGCCACACUGGGACUGAGAUACGGCCCAGACUCCUACGGGAGGCAGCAGUGGGGAAUUUUGGACAAUGGGCGCAAGCCUGAUCCAGCCAUGCCGCGUGCGGGAAG
rnacentral:rRNA from 1 species